rfam:TPA: Bos taurus chromosome 23, whole genome shotgun sequence.
GUUUCUGUAGUGUAGUGGUUAUCAUGCUUGCCUAACACGCUGGAGGCCCUUGGUUCAAAACUAAGCAGAAACA